rnacentral:rRNA from 1 species
GACGAACGCUGGCGGCGUGCUUAACACAUGCAAGUCGAACGAAGUGGCGAACGGGUGAGUAAUACGUGGGUAACCUGCCCUCCUUUUUGGGAUAAGCCUUGGAAACGGGGUCUAAUACCGCAUAAAGGGGGAUGGGCUCGCGGCCUAUCAGCUUGUUGGUGGGGUGAUGGCCUAACAAGGCGGUGACGGGUAGCCGGCCUGAGAGGGUGACCGGCCACAGAGAGACUGAGGUACGGCCCAGGGUAGGACGGGGGGCAGCAGUGGGGGAUAUUGCACAAUGGGCGAAAGCCUGAUGCAGCGACGGCGCGUGGGGGAUGAAGGCUUUCGGGUUGUAAAGCUCGAGAGCUAUCGAACGGGUAGGUGAAGAAGAAGCGCCGGCUAACUACGUGCCAGCAGCCGCGGUAAUAC